GGGAGCCAUUCCUUUACUCGGAUCGUCCGGCACGUUCCUGCCGGUGAAGGGACCACAUC
rfam:Streptomyces niveus NCIMB 11891 chromosome, whole genome shotgun sequence.